GAAAGAAUAAUGUUUUAUCUAUACUUCAGCUUGAUUCCUUCGUGAAUAACUCUGCGGCAUUCAGUGGUGUCACGAAAGGGUACUUCGCACAGAAUACCUACGAAGGAAGAAACACGCCUUAUAUUGAGAUCACAGGGGGUUCCAGCAGCAACAAGAAGCGAAUCUUCAUAGAAGCCGGCAUACACGCCCGGGAGUGGGUCUCACCUGCAUAAGCCAUGUAUUUCAUCGACAGGAUGCUGCACAGGCGGGACGUCGUUGACGAGGCAAGCUUCCUGUACAACAACUUCGACUGGUACAUCGUCCCCGUGACUAACCCAGAUGGGUACGAAUACAGUCACACUUCUAUGUCAUACAUGGCGGGUCACGUCACUGGGCACGAUUUACCGAGGACAUCCCUUACGCCAUAACAUUUGAACUCCGACCUAGCAGUGGCGGCCUUGAGGGGUUCGUCCUCCCGACAGCUCAGAUCGCACCUUGCAGUAAAGAAAUCGGGGACGCCAUGUACGCCAUUGCUGGCAAUUUUUAGACGCUGGUGGCUUCACGGAGCACAGAGACUUUGUAGACGUAAACAAACUCGUAGGACCCAUGAUGUUAGACCGAUAAUUGAUUUAACGCUUCAUAAAUUACACGGGUUAGAAUUGGUCUCCAGCAACCCAUGCUUGUCAUAAGUGGUGACAAACGGAAUCGGUUAGUCUGUUUAACAAAGCCUGAACCGCAUUAUGUUCCCUUCCGCCCAGCCCUUUCUGGAAUGCUAAAUUCCUAAAUGAAACAAGUCUAGCUUUCCUUAGGUUCUGAAUCUCUCAUCUCACUUCAGAUCCUUUUGAAUUUAAAUGGACUUAUUGGUUUCUGUCACAACUAUACAUUCAGAGACUAAACGUUGGUGUUGGGAUGGGUGGUCAGGCUCACUGGCUGUCAUUAUGCCCUGGUUACAUAGAUCGAUGCUCAUCAUUUCAAUCACUGGAUUGUCUGGACCAAACCUGACAGUUUCAUCCUCCACGACUUCCCAUUUCAGCGUCCUCUAGCUUACGACCAGCAAUAGGGAACUGGAGACACAUUCCACACAAGGUAUAUAUGUUUGUUAAACAGUAGGGCUUAACGAUGCAUCGAACUGUCGAUAGAUUGCAAUUGUUGAGUGUCCGAUAGCAAUUAGUCGUUGAUGGUAACGAAAAUUUAUCGAUGUAUCGAUAGUGUGCGUGACUAUCGAUAAUUGUGUGAUUGACGUCCGUUGAUAAAUGCGCAGCUUAAAUACAGGAUGUUUGGGUGUAGACUUGCAGCUUCAUUGAGUUUAGGU